rnacentral:rRNA from 1 species
CCUACGGGAGGCAGCAGUGGGGAAUAUUGCACAAUGGGGGAAACCCUGAUGCAGCAACGCCGCGUGAGUGAUGACGGCCUUCGGGUUGUAAAGCUCUGUCUUCAGGGACGAUAAUGACGGUACCUGAGGAGGAAGCCACGGCUAACUACGUGCCAGCAGCCGCGGUAAUACGUAGGUGGCGAGCGUUGUCCGGAUUUACUGGGCGUAAAGGGAGCGUAGGCGGACUUUUAAGUGAGAUGUGAAAUACUCGGGCUCAACUUGAGUGCUGCAUUUCAAACUGGAAGUCUAGAGUGCAGGAGAGGUAAGAGGAAUUCCUAGUGUAGCGGUGAAAUGCGUAGAUAUUAGGAGGAACACCAGUGGCGAAGGCGUCUUACUGGACCGAAACUGACGUUGAGGCUCGAAAGCGUGGGGAGCAAACAGGAUUAGAUACCCCUGUAGUC